AUUGAACGCUGGCGGCAGGCCUAACACAUGCAAGUCGAACGGUAACAGGAAACAGCUUGCUGUUUCGCUGACGAGUGGCGGACGGGUGAGUAAUGUCUGGGAAACUGCCUGAUGGAGGGGGAUAACUACUGGAAACGGUAGCUAAUACCGCAUAACGUCGCAAGACCAAAGAGGGGGACCUUCGGGCCUCUUGCCAUCGGAUGUGCCCAGAUGGGAUUAGCUAGUAGGUGGGGUAACGGCUCACCUAGGCGACGAUCCCUAGCUGGUCUGAGAGGAUGACCAGCCACACUGGAACUGAGACACGGUCCAGACUCCUACGGGAGGCAGCAGUGGGGAAUAUUGCACAAUGGGCGCAAGCCUGAUGCAGCCAUGCCGCGUGUAUGAAGAAGGCCUUCGGGUUGUAAAGUGCUUUCAGCGGGGAGGAAGGGAGUAAAGUUAAUACCUUUACUCAUUGACGUUACCCGCAGAAGAAGCACCGGCUAACUCCGUG
rnacentral:rRNA from 1 species